rnacentral:tRNA from 1 species
UGGGGUGUGACUCAGUGGUAAAGUGCUUGCCUAGCAUGUGUGAGCUAGGUCAACCCUGGGUUUGAUCCUCAGCACUUCAA